rnacentral:pre_miRNA from 1 species
CUGUCCCAAAUUUCUUGUCUUAGAUUUGUCUAGAUACGGAUGUAUCUAAUACUAAAAUGUGACUUGAUACAUCCGUAUCUAGACAAAUCUAAGACAAGAAUUUUGGGACGGAGGGAGUACUUU